rnacentral:lncRNA from 1 species
CAGAAGCUUAAGGAAGGAAAGAAGCUUGAGACAGAGGCUACAAGUUAUAGGAGGAACCUUCUCCAGGAGGGAAAGCAAACACUAUUUCAGGCGGUUCUCACCGAAAGGAUGGAGUGUCUCAAGUGACCAGCUGGCAUUCCUUGUUACUAUGGGAGCAGUUCUGACGAAGAGCCUCUGGGCACGCAUGCUCCAAGCUGGAUCUCUUAUGCUAAGAACUUCAUGGGAUCCAUACCAGCCACCAGCUGGCAGCAUUCUCCGGGUAAUGUACUUGCAUACUAUUCACCCAGUACAUGAGCACAGUGGAUCAGAUGGCCUUAACCCCUUUCAGCUAUUUCCCAAGCUACACAUCUAUAAUUCCUACAAUGCAGCCAAGACUAAGGUAUCCUGAGAGGAGGGUCUCAGGUGACAGCCUUGCACCCUUCCCUGGCUGUCCCUAUUCUUGUGGUGAAGACAAGCUGGCCUUGGUGCAAAACUGGAAUACACUGUAUCAGGACUUGGCUGCUAUAUACAUUUGUCAGAGGAGACCAGGCCUGUGAGACCAGACCAGACUGAGAGAAGCCGCAAAUAAAACUGGGCACGGGGGUUGGAAAGAUGGCUCAACGGUCAAGAGCACUGACUGCUCUUCCAAAGGUCCUGAGUUCAAAUCCCAGCAACCACAUGGUGGCUCACAACCAUCCGUAAUAAGAUCUGAUGCCUUCUUCUGGGGUAGCUGAAGACAUAUUUACAUAUAAUAAAUAAAAAAACCUAAAAAACAAAAACAAAACAAAAAACCAAACUAAACAAAAAACAAAAAACUGGGCACAGGGCUUCUAUCUCCAUGAGAAAAAAAUUCCACCAGGAGGGGACCACAGAGAGGUGAAGCAGGCAAGGCUGGCCCAUUUCUAGGACAUAGGUAUUGACAAUCCAGAUAAAGUUGGGGUGACCCCAGGAGGGCAAUGUACACACAUGUACACUGCUGGCAACAUGGCAUGUAAUUGCGAUGUUGGUCCCCUGUGGUCCCCGAGGGCCGCUCAGGACCCAUAAUACUAGAGGUACCUCUUGGGACUUCAGCUUUACGUCUGGGGAAAGUCUCCCCUCCAGAAAAAUAAAGGACCAGGUCCUUGGGGUUGGCUGUCCUGAGGAGAUAGCAUAGGAAAUGACACUAACUCCACAGCAACAGAGGCUCCUCCCCUGGACCCAGCCCUUUGAAGGGC